rnacentral:rRNA from 1 species
UACUAGGGACAGGGAGCAGCCUGAUCAGCCUGCCGCGUGAGUGAAGAAGGCCUUCGGGUUGUAAAGCUCUUUCGGCCGGGAAGAAAUCGUGGUCUCUAACAUAGGACAUGGAUGACGGUACCGGACUAAGAAGCACCGGCUAACUACGUGCCAGCAGCCGCGGUAAUACGUAGGGUGCGAGCGUUAAUCGGAAUUACUGGGCGUAAAGCGUGCGCAGGCGGUUUGGUAAGACAGGUGUGAAAUCCCCGGGCUUAACCUGGGAACUGCGCUUGUGACUGGCAGGCUAGAGUACGGCAGAGGGGGGUGGAAUUCCUGGUGUAGCAGUGAAAUGCGUAGAGAUCAGGAGGAACACCGAUGGCGAAGGCAGCCCCCUGGGCCUGUACUGACGCUCAUGCACGAAAGCGUGGGGAGCAAACAGGAUUAGAUACCCUGGUAGUCCACGCCCUAAACGAUGUCGACUAGUCGUUCGGAGCAGCAAUGCACUGAGUGACGCAGCUAACGCGUGAAGUCGACCGCCUGGGGAGUACGGCCGCAAGGUUAAAACUCAAAGGAAGUGACGGAACCCCG